ensembl:scaRNA SCARNA6 small Cajal body-specific RNA 6
GGUCAGUGAUGAGAUGUAAAAGGUCUGAAGCCUCCGUCUCCUUCAGUCCUCCCGUCCCUCCCAGCAGCCUCUCUUCAUGUGGUCCAGCGUGCUCUAGUCGUGCAUCGCUGGUUUCAGGAGGCGGCUGAUAUUCUGGACGUUUCUGCUGUAUAUGUAGAGUCUUUUAGAGAAUUAGAAGACUUGAUAGCAGCCGCGUCAAACAGAAGCACGACACACAGGAGGGCCGGACUGAAGGAGAACGCCUGACAGGCUCGUGAUCUCAAGUUUUCAAGCUGAGACC